AACGUAGGUGGCAAGCGUUAUCCGGAAUUACUGGGCGUAAAGGGUGUGCAGGCGGGGUGGCAAGUGGUGUAUGAAAUCUCCCAGCUUAACUGGGAUAGGUUAUGCCAGACUGCUACUCUAGAGGACGAGAGAGGGGCGUGGAAUUCCGGGUGUAGUGGUGAAAUGCGUAGAGAUCCGGAGGAACCCCAGAGGCGAAGGCGGCAUCCUGGACCGAUAUUGACGCUGAUGCGCGAAAGCCAGGGGAGCAAACGGG
rnacentral:rRNA from 1 species